UUGGUUGAAGUUUUGCUUGCUAAUUGUUGCCAGAGUAAAAUUUUAAUUUGUAAUACAUUAUUAUGAAAUGACUCAGUUAUGAAAGUCUUGCCAAAUUAUAGCUCUUGUUCGACUUUAGUUGUCGAAUUGUCGAGCACGCUGUCCUAUGGACAGCUUUUGUAUAUACUAAACUUGAUUACCAUGGAAACGUAGAUCUUCAUCUUCUAGGCGGAUAACCGACACUCAGUAGCUUGGCUGUAAUUGUUCAUGGAUCGGCACCACUGAUUUUGAACAUAUAUACAAAUCAUGGACGAAGGUGUCGUCAGAUCUGGAGCCAAAAUGGGUUACCAUGGAAACAUACAUCUAAAUCUAGGCAAUGGUAUAACGGAUAGUCAACGUUCAGAUGUACAAAGUUAUACAGCAGCUUUUUGAGCAUAUAGGGGCUCCCAUGGGAACGCACCUCUACAUCUAAGCAAUUGUAUUAAUGGAUGACCGGCGUUCAGACGUACACAGUUAUAGAGCAGAUUUUGGAGCACAUAGGAUAUUGAUUUCAAAUACAAAAGUGAGAAAUAUCUGCAGAAGGAAGAUGAAUACAUGUCAGACCUAGCACAAGCAUAAAAGCAUGACACCACCACAGCCGCCCUGACACAAGCAAAGUUAAACAAAUUAGACAUAAGCUGACAUGUAUAUAAUUAUAGCCCCACGUACAAAGUGUAUGGGGCUAUAUUGGAGUCACACAUGUCCGCACAUCCGUUCGUCCAUCUUUUCUGCUGGGAAGAUUUUCAUAAAGCCAUCAAUAAUUAACCUCAUUAUGACGAUGUGCAGAGCGCACAACGCAGGUCACUAGGCCCAAAGUCAAAGUAACUCUUGGAGGUCAAAAGUCAAAUAGUUUAACCUCAGGUCCGCUACAUAUUGUCUAAACGGCUUGGAAGAUAUUUAGCUUGACUAAUUGAGGAAUUAACAUUCUUGCCGUGGCAUCGACAUCAUUAUCACCGUUGCAUUCAAGUUAGAAUCGAAUUUUAUGACAAGCUUGUCAAUGUCACUCUAUCUUCUUAACAAUUGCUCCUAUUAACGUCAAACUUCACAUAAGUAUUGUUCUAGGUAAGGGGCAUACAUCUAUUAGCUUAGAGUUAG